rnacentral:Y_RNA from 10 species
GGCAGGUCUGAAGGUAGCAAGUUAUCUCAAUUGUUCACAGUCAGCUACAGAUCAGAUGAAUUCCUUGUUUCACUCUUUCCCACUAUUGCACUUCACUAGUCUUUA